rnacentral:rRNA from 1 species
CCUUCGGGACGAGUAAAGUGGCGCACGGGUGAGUAACGCGUGGAUAAUCUACCCUUAAGAUGGGGAUAACGGCUGGAAACGGUCGCUAAUACCGAAUACGCUCCCGAUUUUAUCGUUGGGGGGAAAGAUGGCCUCUGCCUGCAAGCUAUCGCUUAAGGAUGAGUCCGCGUCCCAUUAGCUAGUUGGCGGGGUAACGGCCCACCAAGGCAACGAUGGGUAGCCGGUCUGAGAGGAUGACCGGCCACACUGGAACUGGAACACGGUCCAGACUCCUACGGGAGGCAGCAGUGGGGAAUAUUGCGCAAUGGGCGAAAGCCUGACGCAGCGACGCCGCGUGAGGGAUGAAGGUUCUCGGAUCGUAAACCUCUGUCAGGGGGGAAGAAACCCCCUCGUGUGAAUAAUGCGAGGGCUUGACGGUACCCCCCAAAGGAAGCACCGGCUAACUCCGUGCCAGCAGCCGCGGUAAUACGGAGGGUGCAAGCGUUAAUCGGAAUCACUGGGCGUAAAGCGCACGUAGGCGGCCUGGUAAGUCAGGGGUGAAAUCCCACAGCCCAACUGUGGAACUGCCUUUGAUACUGCCAGGCUUGAGUACCGGAGAGGGUGGCGGAAUUCCAGGUGUAGGAGUGAAAUCCGUAGAUAUCUGGAGGAACACCGGUGGCGAAGGCGGCCACCUGGACGGUAACUGACGC